UUCAGUAUGGCAGAAUAGUGCCAUGAACUUAAGAUUCGUAUAUAAAUUUUUAUUUUGCUGAAA
rnacentral:tRNA from 1 species